rnacentral:rRNA from 1 species
UGGGGAAUAUUGGACAAUGGGCGCAAGCCUGAUCCAGCCAUGCCGCGUGAGUGAUGAAGGCCCUAGGGUUGUAAAGCUCUUUCACCGGUGAAGAUAAUGACGGUAACCGGAGAAGAAGCCCCGGCUAACUUCGUGCCAGCAGCCGCGGUAAUACGAAGGGGGCUAGCGUUGUUCGGAUUUACUGGGCGUAAAGCGCACGUAGGCGGACUAUUAAGUCAGGGGUGAAAUCCCGGGGCUCAACCCCGGAACUGCCUUUGAUACUGGAGGUCUUGAGUAUGGUAGAGGUGAGUGGAAUUCCGAGUGUAGAGGUGAAAUUCGUAGAUAUUCGGAGGAACACCAGUGGCGAAGGCGGCUCACUGGACCAUUACUGACGCUGAGGUGCGAAAGCGUGGGGAGCAAACAGG